rnacentral:rRNA from 1 species
AGAACGAACGCUGGCGGCAUGCCUAACACAUGCAAGUCGAACGAGACCUUCGGGUCUAGUGGCGCACGGGUGCGUAACGCGUGGGAAUCUGCCCUUGGGUUCGGGAUAACAGUUGGAAACGACUGCUAAUACCGGAUAAUGACUUCGGUCCAAAGAUUUAUUGCCCAGGGAUGAGCCCGCGUAGGAUUAGCUAGUUGGUGAGGUAAGGCUCACCAAGGCGACGAUCCUUAGCUGGUCUGAGAGGAUGAUCAGCCACACUGGGACUGAGACACGGCCCAGACCU